UAAUCUCAGUUAGUAAUUCCGAG
rnacentral:miRNA from 2 species